CAGAAACCGAGAGGUGGAAACAGAGCCCAGGGGAGGGAGGAACUCCACGCGACUUUCCUCCUCUGCAAACAGCCCGAAGAUGAAAUCGGCGUCCCGUAGCUGGUGAAGGCUUUUCGUCUUCACUUUGUUCCCAAUGCUGAAGGCCCCCCUGAAGGUGGCUGUGGUCACACCGAGUCUCACCACCAGCCUAUUCGGGAGACUCCAAGGCAGCCCACCCAAGAAUCACUCAAAACGCCAGAACGCAAAGAACACAAACCAGCUGCACCUGGGACCCGAGCCAAAGACGCGUAGCGCCUGAAUCUUCUCCAUAGGCUCACACUGGAUAAAAAGAUUGUGUAUCUGAAGUAUUGCCUAAGGGUAUGGCUCAAUUUCCCUUGACUCCAUAGCAAAAUCGCAGAAGUUUAUUUCCUUGACAAAGCCAAGGUGUAAUUCUCUUAGGUCUAUCCAUAAUGUAGUCAGACUGCUUUGCACCGAACUGGCUUCCCUUCAUGGCCAAAGAGACUCACAAGAGACAUCGAAAUAGAAAGUACAAGUAUUGUUACAGGCAGCUGGUUAGGUUCCAAGAGGAUGUCUGGAGGCAAACAAUGAGGAGAUCAGAGCCAGACCAGAGGUCAGGAGAGUCAUAGGCCCUUCCUGGCAGCACUCUAAAACAAAGCCACAAAAAGCUAUAUCCAACCAGACAGGCCCAAGAUAGCUGAUGAAGUAGGUUGGAAACCCCUGGCAAAAUAAAGAAAAAAAGAUGAGAACUCCUGCUUCCAAGCUAUCCCCACCCCAAGUAAUGAACAUUCUACCCCCUCGUUCACAACUGUCAAUAAAAGAUAGAAACCUAAACCCCAACUUCUCUGAACUUCUCUCUCCCCACCUCCCUCUCCCUCCUGCUUCCCUGCUCUCUAUCCCAAGAGUAAUAAACUUUACUACUUGUGUCCCUA